UACGAAGGGGGCUAGCGUUGCUCGGAAUCACUGGGCGUAAAGCGCACGUAGGCGGGUCCUUAAGUCAGGGGUGAAAUCCCGGAGCUCAACUCCGGAACUGCCUUUGAUACUGGGGAUCUUGAGUCCGGAAGAGGUGAGUGGAACUCCGAGUGUAGAGGUGAAAUUCGUAGGUAUUCGGAAGAACACCAGUGGCGAAGGCGGCUCACUGGUCCGGUACUGACGCUGAGGUGCGAAAGCGUGGGGAGCAAACAGG
rnacentral:rRNA from 1 species